UACGUAGGGUCCGAGCGUUGUCCGGAGUUACUGGGCGUAAAGGGCGCGCAGGCGGCGGUGCUGGCCCGGCGUGAAAGCCCCCGGCUCAACCGGGGAGGGUCGUCGGGGACCGCACCGCUUGAGGGCGGUAGGGGCCGGUGGAAUGCCUGGUGUAGUGGUGAAAUGCGUAGAGAUCAGGCAGAACACCUGGGGCGAAGGCGGCCGGCUGGGCCGACCCUGACGCUGAGGCGCGAAGGCGUGGGGAGCAAACGGG
rnacentral:rRNA from 1 species